rnacentral:lncRNA from 1 species
UCCUUCUGCUCUGCUUCUUCCUUCUCGUGCUUUGCCCUUCCCCUUUCCCAGGUGGCUGGAGUGGGGUGCUAGGCAGGGCCUGGUGGUGUACGAGCCCCCAGGCAUCCCAUCAGGGCGCUCGUUCUGCCUGAGCUGCUCUUUGGGGUAAGCGCUUUGCUUUUCCUUUAGUCGGUGGCCGGGUUCUUUAGGUGGGUCGGAGUCUAUGGGCUGAUGCGUUUCCAAGUUGAGAGAGAUAUAUCGAGCCUUUUGCGUACCUCUCCAGAGGACUCACAAAGAGCUUCAGUACACACCACAAGGGGCUUGACCACAUCGGCACAGUAUUACCAAGAGACUGAGCAGGGUCACCUUUUUCAGCUGUAAAGGCCCAGGUCAUGGGCACGGACUANGAGGACGAGUGGAUGGCAGCGUGGGCCAUGAGUUGAUGUCAGCGGGUCCAGUUCCUGGAAUGCUGGAGAUGCUCGGCGUGCAAGAGGAGCAGGGAGCGUGACGCAUCUCUUUGGGACGUUAGGUGAGCGAAGCGGUGGUACUGGGUUGGGGGACGUGGGUCUGGGGCUUCUUGGCUGUUGGGGUAGGGGAGGAAAGAAGAGGAGUGGGUAUAGACUGUUUUGUGGAUUGUCACCUUUGUCUGUUCUUUCUCCUUGGUCUAAGCCACGUGACCUUGGCUCGGCACGGCAAAUGGACGCGCUAAACCUUGAUCGGGAAGGGAUCGCUCCGGCAGGACUUGUGGCGCAGCAGGAUGUGAAGCAGACGGGGGGAAGGUCCCACGGUCCCGAAAUAAGGAGGAUGGCUCAGAAAAACAGGGCAAAAUCAAUAAAACCAAAAAUCACGGGCCCUCUAGGCAUGAGAGAAGGGGGAAAAAAAAAAAGAAAAAGGAGAAAUUAAACGGUUGGUCAAAUAAAAUUGUACGUGUAGGAUGUCA